CCUACGGGAGGCAGCAGUGGGGAAUAUUGGGCAAUGGGCGCAAGCCUGAACCAGCAACGCCGCGUGAAGGAAGAAGGCUUUCGGGUUGUAAACUUCUUUUGUCAGGGAAGAGUAGAAGACGGUACCUGACGAAUAAGCCACGGCUAACGACGUGCCAGCAGCCGCGGUAAUACGUAGGUGGCAAGCGUUGUGCGGAUUUACUGGGUGUAAAGGGCGUGUAGCCGGGUUGACAAGUCAGAUGUGAAAUCCUGCGGCUUAACCGCAGAACUGCAGUUGAAACUGUUGAUCUUGAGUACUGGAGAGGCAGAUGGAAUUCGUGGUGUAGCGGUGAAAUGCGUAGAUAUUAGGAGGAACACCAGUGGCGAAGGCGGUCUGCUGGACAGCAACUGACGGUGAGGCGCGAAAGCGUGGGGAGCAAACAGGAUUAGAUACCCUAGUAGUC
rnacentral:rRNA from 1 species